UCUUCGGUGGUGCAGUGGUAGCACGCGCACCCUGUAUGGGUGAAGCGCGGGUUUAACUCCCGCCUAAAGUCUAA